GUUCUAGAACAUGGAGCUGUGAGAGAUAUUGGUGGAUGCUAAAACAUGGAGCUAUGAGGGACAUUGAAUCACAGACCCUGGAGAUUUUAUGGACUGUAAGAAAUGAUCUGGUGCGGUUGGUGAACAUACAGAAACUUCUGGCUGUGGUUUCCGAACUGAAGCUAUGAAACCACACAGACAAGUUGUACUCACAUCCUAGUGCAUGACCAUGUACGAAUUUGAAGGAAAGUGGGGUAGCUCACUGUGCAUCCUGGGGGCCAGAGCAUCCGCCCAUUGAGCUGACUUGCCACUUACAAAGUUCCCAGAAAACUCUUCCUUACUGGGAGACAGUGGAAGAUCAAUGGUGAUUUCUGUGAUACAGGAAAGGAGUGAAGUAAAUUUCACUGGAAAUUAUACAGAGAUGAUCACCCAGGCUGGGGUUAAGGCAGUUAUGCAGGUCAUGGGAAAGAACCUGCAGCCUGGGGAAGCUUUUCAGGCUUGGAUAAACUAUACCGAAUGUAUGGUCAACUAUAGCACAAGGUAUGAUGUGUGUCAACACACUGGAUUCAAAUUGGCCAUGAUGAAUAAUUCAGUUUCUGAGGAUAUUCCAAGGGCAUUGUGUAAAACUUGAGACCCUAAGGGGUAUUGGCUGAAGA